CCUACGGGAGGCAGCAGUGAGGAAUAUUGGUCAAUGGACGCAAGUCUGAACCAGCCAUGCCGCGUGCAGGAAGACGGCUCUAUGAGUUAUAAACUGCUUUUGUACGAGGGUAAACGCAGAUACGCGUCUCUGUCUGAAAGUAUCGUACGAAUAAGGAUCGGCUAACUCCGUGCCAGCAGCCGCGGUAAUACGGAGGAUUCAAGCGUUAUCCGGAUUUAUUGGGUUUAAAGGGUGCGUAGGCGGUCGGAUAAGUUAGAGGUGAAAUCCCGAGGCUCAACUUCGGAAUUGCCUCUGAUACUGUUCGGCUAGAGAGUAGUUGCGGUAGGCGGAAUGUAUGGUGUAGCGGUGGAAUGCUUAGAGAUCAUACAGAACACCGAUUGCGAAGGCAGCUUACCAAGCUACUUCUGACGUUGAGGCACGAAAGCGUGGGGAGCAAACAGGAUUAGAUACCCCUGUAGUC
rnacentral:rRNA from 1 species